rnacentral:rRNA from 1 species
UACGUAGGGGGCGAGCGUUGUCCGGAUUCAUUGGGCGUAAAGCGCUUUAAGGCGGUUCGCUAAGUCGGGUGUGGAACCUCCAGGCUCAACCUGGAGACGCCACUCGAUACUGGCGUGACUAGAGUCCGGUAGGGGACCACGGAAUUCCUGGUGUAGCGGUGAAAUGCGCAGAUAUCAGGAGGAACACCAGUGGCGAAGGCGGUGGUCUGGGCCGGAACUGACGCUGUAGAGCGAAAGCGUGGGGAGCGAACAGG